GCGGGCCCCGCCGCAGCUCGCGAUCGUUCAUCUGGCCCAGAGCCGCGGCUUCCAUCCGCAAAGGAGACAAAACAGGCCUUUUGCAAAUAGUAUAGGAGACAAAACGUAUACGUUCCCUGGGGGCCCGUGGAUAGUCGUUUAGGUAUGAGGCAAGAGAAGUGUCCGAGACAGCGAGUCGUGUCUGAAUUUGAGGAGCUGUGUCUAAAUGAGGAAAAGAAAGGCCGUCGGCAGAGACUGGAGGAGGAGGAGAGGGAGACUGGGGACAAACUAAAUGAACAUGUCAUCUAACACGCUCGGCAGCAACUGAGCACAAAGAUGGAGGAGAGGUCUCAGCAAGUGGCCCUUGAGCUAUACGUAGGAGAAGUGCUCAGCAGAUGACUUAAUGCACUGGCCAGUUCUCCCAGCAUCAUGGAUGAAGCUUGUGUGUCUAAUUCUGGAGGUUGCAGAGAAAAGUUUGAAAACGCAACUGGAAUGUGCCUGACACAAGGACACCUGCCCGAGUGUGCAGUGAGCCUGCGAGGAUAGUUCCAAGCCUGGCCGUUGUCCCACACAGGGCAAAGGGAGUUAAUACCAGAGGGCCACUCCCUGCAGGGGUCUCUGUGUGUGGCCAGAGAGCAGUGAGUCUGGCCCCCCACCAGAGCAGAGACACCCUGGCUGCCAGGUGACUCCUGCAGGCCCUCAGCAACCCCCCACCUCUCUGAGUUCAAAAGGGGACCCUGCUUCUCCUGAAAGGGGCCCUGCUGCUGCUCAUGGAAGGAAGAUGGGAGCCCCAGGACCAAAGUUCCCUGUAAUCUUUUCCAUCCACGUGCAGAAUAAAUUUUAUGUGCACCGCAGUAUGUGCACCACCAGUAGAAACACAAACCUGGCUGAGGGCGCACUGCUACUCAGUUGGGUGGCAUUUAAAUGUAUCUUGAGAGAUUGAACAAGUGCACAGCUUACAGGGGACACUACCCAGGGCCCCAUACCUAGAGGGUGGGAAGGGUCCCUGUGCCACCCCCAUUCCAGGAGAACUGCGAUACUUGGCCGGAGCCACAAGAGCUCCAUGCCAUGGGGCUGAGAUGAGACCCAGAGAGAUUCAGGCAGGAGACAGACUGACCUGCGGCUCCACCUUCCAUGUGAUGAAGCUAGUUUAUGUUUAGCUAGAAGCCAUCUUGUAUAACAGAAACCAUUUCAGCUUUUUGUCUUUGCACGUAGGCCAGAGUGAACUUUCUAUCACCCCAUGCGCCAGGCCAAGACAGAUG